rnacentral:lncRNA from 1 species
AAAGAUGCCGGAUAAAGAAAGAUGCCCGAAUUAAGAAAGAUGCCGAAUAAAGAAGGUUGCUUGUCGCAAAUAAAGAAGUUGGCUUGUCGGUAAUCAAGAUGAGGCCGGUGCGGUGCUUCGGCGAAGCCCGGCAACAUGCAUUCUUACGGGUUGGUAUGGUAUGAUAAUUUGUGCUUGUCGGACCAUCAUUGGGUGGAGUUCGGUCGAAGUCAGCCCCCGAUAGGCGAUUGGAGUGUCGAACGGCUGUGUUGCGUUGUGGGAUGGCUCUCAUUCGAAAAUGGUGUGGUUAGUACGAG